AAUAAAACACAAUAUUUGACUUCAUAAUGAGAAAAGUCCCUGUUUAAAUCAUCAGGGGGGCUUUUAAUUUGAAAGUGGCAACAGCCGAUGACUGUAUAUCACAAAUAAACCACCUCGCGCAGGGGAUGGCAAUGUCUUCCGGUGGUGACCCCAAGAUGCAGGAACCCGGAGAGCGAAGAGCAGAGUGUCGCCACGUGACUCGGCUCUAGUGGAUUCCACCCCGAGGUGUGGCCUCAGCCAAUCAGCUCGGGGUGUGGCUGGAUGCAUCCGCUCUUCCAUUUAACCACACACACACACUGGUCUCUCUCGGGCCAUUGUGAAGGGACAGAGCCCCCUCUGUGUUUCUAAACAAAGGUAAAGGCCUCUCCACACCACACCUUUCACCCCCCUUCCAACACAAAUCGGCAAUGACUCGAGAAGAUACAGUAUAUUCAAAAUAGAUAUUUGAUACACAGUAAUUUUAUAAAUAAUAAUUGUAUUUAAAAAAGGGAAAUAUAUCUUUAAAAAUGUACAUACAUAAAUGAAAUGUUAAAGCAGUUUAGGUUAAA